rnacentral:rRNA from 1 species
CUACGGGUGGCACCAGUGGGGAAUAUUGCACAAUGGGCGCAAGCCUGAUACAGCCAUGCCGCGUGUAUGAAGAAGGCCUUCGGGUUGUAAAGUACUUUCAGCGGGGAGGAAGGGAGUAAAGUUAAUACCUUUGCUCAUUGACGUUACCCGCAGAAGAAGCACCGGCUAACUCCGUGCCAGCAGCCGCGGUAAUACGGAGGGUGCAAGCGUUAAUCGGAAUUACUGGGCGUAAAGCGCACGCGGGCGGUUUGUUAAGUCAGAUGUGAAAUCCCCGGGCUCAACCUGGGAACUGCAUCUGAUACUGGCAAGCUUGAGUCUCGUAGAGGGGGGUAGAAUUCCAGGUGUAGCGGUGAAAUGCGUAGAGAUCUGGAGGAAUACCGGUGGCGAAGGCGGCCCCCUGGACGAAGACUGACGCUCAGGUGCGAAAGCGUGGGGAGCAAACAGGAUUAGAUACCCCGGUAGUC